GAUGAAGAACGCAGCGAAAUGCGAUAAGUAAUGUGAAUUGCAGAAUCCAGUGAAUCAUCGAAUCUUUGAACGCACAUUGCGCCCGCCAGCAUUCUGGCGGGCAUGCCUGUUCGAGCGUCAUUUCAACCCUCGACCUCCCUUUGGGGAAGUCGGCGUUGGGGACCGGCAGCACACCGCCGGCCCUGAAAUGGAGUGGCGGCCUGUCCGCGGCGACCUCUGCGUAGUAAACCAACUCGCACCGGAACCCCGACGUGGCCACGCCGUAAAACACCCAACUUCUGAACGUUGACCUCGAAUCAGGUAGGACUACCCGCUGAACUUAAGCAUAUCAAUAAGCGGAGGA
rnacentral:misc_RNA from 1 species